AAAAUCCAGUUCCUCCAGGUUUAAACGGGUCCAAAAGGAAGAAAGUUAUUUUUGCAUAUACAGGAUAUAACUUAGAGAUUCCUGCACCCAUGCUGUGACCACUGGUUUGUGUUUCACUGAUCUGAUUCUUUCUCACUAUUUUCAAUUCAGUGGAUAUAGAAUUGGCUGGAUGGGAAGACACAAAUGUGAAAUAUCACAAACAGCAUGAAACCCUGUCCAUGGCAAAUAAUCAUGAUUGUUACAGUGGCAGGUUUUGUGGAGGUGAAGGUGAAGACACAGCUUUUGUUGUUUCUGUUCUAAGCAGAGUCCAAAGCUGCUGUAGACACAGCUGAUACUCUUCAGUGGACAUGUUUAUUGAAACUUUCAGGCAAAAUACCUCAAUCACCUGGU